GGGGCGGUAGCUCAGCUGGGAGAGCACUACAAUGGCAUUGUAGGGGUUGGGGGUUCGACUCCCCUCCGCUCCA
rfam:Deferribacter desulfuricans SSM1 DNA, complete genome.